rnacentral:lncRNA from 1 species
GCCCUGGUGUUUGAAAUUCAUUCCCAUUUCUUGCAUGGGACCUAAGCAUGCACCCAAGGAGACAGCUUUGAUUUUUCAACCAAUUUAUAUGCACUGGGGCAUGCACAUGUAGUUCAAAUUUGAAUUAUGCACAUAAAUGCAUUGAAAACUCAGUUAAUGCAUAAAAAUGUCCAAACGAACCCCGAAAAAUCACAAAAAUUCACACAACACUCCUGUUGUUCUAUGUUGGCACGAGAAAAAAACUUGAAAGCAAUAAGAGGCAAUGGAUAUCGUUUCGUCCCCAAAGGUGGGACGUUCCCUACCGAAAACCAUCAUGCUUGUUGUGAGAAGCUCCGGUUUGUGAGAAGUAUAUACCCAAACCUGCCCCAAAUGGGACAAAAUUUGUACCACGGCAUGUUGAUGCCGCUCCAUGAUAGCAUGCCAAGUUUCGUGAAUUUCAGAUGAGUUUUGGAUUUACUAGAAUUUAAAAACCAGGCAUCUCAAUGUUUUGCCGGCAAUCAACAGUACCCUGGUGUUUGAAAUUCAUUCCAAUUUCUUGCAUGAGACCUAAGCAUGCACCCAAGGACACAACUUUGAUUUUUCAACCAAUUUAUAUGCACUGGAGCAUGCGCAUGUAGUUCAAAUUUGAAUUAUGCACAUAAAUGCAUUGAAAACUCAGUUAAUGCAUAAAAAUGUCCAAACGAACCCCGAAAAAUCACAAAAAUUCACACAACACUCUUGUUGUUC